rnacentral:rRNA from 1 species
UACGGAGGGUGCGAGCGUUGUCCGGAAUCACUGGGCGUAAAGGGCGCGUAGGCGGCGCGGGGAGACAACGGUGAAAGCUCGGCGCUCAACGCCGAGUCGGCCGUCGAUACUCCCGUGCUCGAGCACUGUAGAGGCAGGUGGAAUUCCGGGUGUAGCGGUGGAAUGCGUAGAGAUCCGGAAGAACACCGGUGGCGAAGGCGGUCUGCUGGGCAGUUGCUGACACUGAGGCGCGACAGCGUGGGGAGCAAACAGG